rnacentral:rRNA from 1 species
GGAUUUAAUUAUCUGGUUUUUUUAUUUACAUCUAAAAAAAAUUUAUGAGGGAGGCCUAGUCAUCUCCCGUUUGUAGUUGUUUAGUUUACUUUGUUGUUUUAUAUUAGAAAUCUUAUUUUUAUUUUCUAAUUAUUAACUGGAUUUUUAUUCAGGCUGACGGUAUAGUAGCGAUUUUGUCGCAUAAAGUUCUAGAUAUUUUAAUAUGGUUGAUUAUGACAAUCAAAUAUCUAUUUGUCUUGACCAAAUUACGUGCCAGCAGUCGCGGUAAUACGUAAAAGACUAGUGUUAUUCAUCUUUAAUAGGUUUACAGGGUACCUAGACGGUAAAUUUGAUCUUAAACAAGAUAUCUUUUUACUAGAGUUUUAUAUGAGGAGGUGAGUAUUUAUGGAGUAGAGUUGAAAUUCUUUGAUCCCAUAACGACUGGUAAAGGCGAAAGCAACCUUUUAUCUAAUAACUGACGUUGAGGGACGAAGGCUCGGGUCGCGAACAGGAUUAGAUACCCUAGUAGUCCAAGCAGAGAAUUAUGAAUGCCAUGGGUUAGAUAUUUAUUUGGCCUAUAAAUGAAAGUGUAAGCAUUUCACCUCAAGAGUAAUGUGGCAACGCAGAAACUGAAAUCAUUAGACCGUUUCUGAAACCAGUAGUGAAGUAUGUUAUUUAAUUCGUAGGUACGCGAAAAACCUUACCACAACUUGAAUAAUAUAUUAAUCUUUCGUAAUUCUUUUCAUGUAAGAGGUACCUUUAUUGGUUAGAAAGAUUAAUAUAUUACAAGCGUUGCACGGCUGUUUUUAGUUAAUGUCGUGAGAUAUU